rnacentral:rRNA from 1 species
CCUACGGGCGGCAGCAGUGGGGAAUAUUGCACAAUGGGGGAAACCCUGAUGCAGCAACGCCGCGUGAAGGAAGACGGUUUUCGGAUUGUAAACUUCUGUUCUUAGUGAAGAAUAUUGCCGUUAGCUAAUGAGCACGCCCCGGCUAACUACGUGCCAGCAGCCGCGGUAAUACGUAGGUGGCAAGCGUUGUCCGGAAUUACUGGGUGUAAAGGGAGCGCAGGCGGGUAGCCAAGUCAGCUGUGAAACCCACGGGCUUAACUUGGAGACUGCAGUUGAAACGGGUUUUCGUGAGUGAAGUAGAGGUUGGCGGAAUUCCGAGUGUAGCGGUGAAAUGCGUAGAUAUUAGGAGGAACACCAGUGGCGAAGGCGGCCAACUGGGCUGUAACUGACGCUGAGGCUCGAAAGUGUGGGGAGCAAACAGGAUUAGAUACCCGUGUAGUC